ensembl:lncRNA
CCGAAACGGACCUUGGAGCCGUAACUAUAGCAACCGAAGUAGCCUAGCACACUUGAUGCAGCUUCGGAAAUAUGGCAAAUGCAAGCCAGAUUUGUAUGUGCCUUCCUUCGUUUAGGGAAUUAUAGCCAGUUCGUUUUCUUACUAUCUUUAUAAUUAUUGGACGUUGUGUAAUUUACUCUGACACCAACAUUAUUAAAUCCUCCAUUGUUGCGAUAGUGACAAAAGCACGAUCUCUGAUUGGCUACCGUCCAGCGGCAAGAGCCAAAGGUUGAACAUGGUUGAGCUUCGCCGGCAGGACCAAAUAUUGUGCGUGUUCCCGUGGGCGGCAGUCGCCUUGCUUCGGCUUGCCGCGGCUGCCAGGGUUGGAGGCAAAGCUGCCGUCGAGGAUUCAUUGAACGUAAUGGAGGAGGCAGCGGUUGCCGGUUCCGGUGUUCAAAGCCCCUUUUACGGGCACGGCGGUAGGGAUUAUUGCGUGCUAGUGUUCUUAAUGACACCACAAUGCAGUUCCAGGCCAAAUACAGUUAAUUUAAAAGAUAAUUCAGUUUCUAAGCGAAACAGCGAUUUGACAAGUGCGAUUUUGCUACAAGCAGACUGAACUCAAGGCAACACACCACUUACAGCUGAAGAAAGAGGAGAAGAAAAUCUGGUCCAGGGCAGAGGAGGCUUAUACAACUACCCUCACCCAGAGAGAUUGCAGUAUAAAAACAAUGCAGAAGGAGAUCAGCAAGCUGAUGAUGGAAAAACAGCUUGCACAGCAAGAAAUUGAUAGAUUAAAGCUGAGGCAGAAAGUCAUUAAGAAUCAGAGACCACGUCUAGCUUGGAACGACAAACCGAUUGAGACAAAGCGAGAGGAGACAGAGAUAAAAGCAGGAUUAGAGAGACAAGGAAUAAAUGAGAAAGCAAAACAGGAUGAGGAAACGAUAAAAGCACUGACACAAGAGAUUGAGAGAUUGAGAAAGAUUAAGCCAGAAAUGUCUUAUAAAAAAGAUGAAGACAUUUGUAAUCUAGAAAGCGAGAGAGUUAAACUGGUCAACAAAAAGGUACAAGAUUUGGAGAGAGAUGUUGAGAGACUGAAAGAAAUUGAACAGGAUAGGUCAUUUAAAGGAGAAAGAACAAUGCAUAUUGCAAAAAUCGAAGACGUUCAACUAGUCAACAAACAGCUAAAUGACUUGAAGAGUGAGGUUGAAAUAUUGAAACAGAAGCAGUUAUUUCAAAAGCAAAGAUCCAUGCAUAUUGCAGAGAGUGAGGGAGUUAAACUGUUCACCAAACAGCUAAACGACUUGAAGAGAGAGGUUAACAAUUUGAAAGAAGACAUGACAAGUAAAGAAAUUCUAUAUGAAAGAAGAUUUGAAGUUGCAAAAAAAGCGCAUAAAAGACAGAAUGAAAGAAUUAAACAAGUUAACCAACAUUUAUUACAACUAGAGAAAGAAAUAGUGAUAAUUAAAGAAGCGAUUGGAUUGAAUAACUGCCCUAAAGCAACCAUGCGGUUCAAAGGCGAAAUGAUACAGGUAAGUGGGGAAGGGGGUGGACAGAACCAACUGGACAUGAAGGAGGAGGAAACAGAGAGUGAGAAUGACGUACAAAAAGAGAAAAAACGAAUGAGACUUGAGAUGGGACCAAAAGAGACUGAAAUAAUAAAUGCAAGACGGAGAGAGUAUUACAUGUCAAUCUACAGGGAAAGACUGAAACAGAGUAAGAAUAGAGAGAUGCUAAAGAUUGCAAGAGAGAAGAGAGAGCGAGAGAAAGAGAUGGAGGAGGAAAGAGAGAGACAGAAAAUGAAGACAGAGGAGAGACAAAAAGAGAGGGCAAGAGAGGAAAGAGAGCAGGAGAAAGAGAUACAGAGAGAGAAGGAAAGAGCCAGACAGAAGGAGAUGGAGACAGGAAGAGAGAGACAAAAGGAAAUCAGGGAGAUGGAAAGAGAGAGACAGAGAGAGAAAGAGAAUGAGUGUGAAAAGAUUGGGAAAGAGAUUGAGGAAGCGGAGGACAGAAGGUCCAAAGUAAAUAUGAAUGAUAUAUUAACUAUAAUCAAAUCAAAAGGACUGCAACAGCAUCAAAGGCGGAGAGAAAAGUGCCUACAAAGUUUCAAGGUGGAUCAAGAACAGAGAGAACAGAAAGAACAGAGAGAAAAGAAAGAACAGAGAGAACAGAAAGAACAGAGAGAACAAAAAGAACAGAAAGAACAGAGAGAACAGAAAGAACAGAGAGAACAGAAAGAACAGAGAGAACAGAAAGAACAGAGAGAACAAAAAGAACAGAGAGAACAGAAAGAACAGAAAGAACAGAGCGAAAGAGAAAAACUCAUGAGGGAGAAAGAGGAAAGACUUCAGGAGAUGAAAGGGAAUCAGGAAUGGUUAAGACAGCAAAAAGAGCUGAAUAUACAGAGAGAGAGAGAACACGCCAGCUACAUCGCUUCAGCCAGAGUAAAACAGAAAAGAAUUGAGGACCCUGCCCCUUCCAAUAAGAGUCUUAUUAGGAGAGCUUUUCGCUGGAUGCGUAGGAUGUUUGGACUGAAGAACCUCCGAAAGAAGCUGGUAAAAAAUUAAAGGAAGCCCUUGUUAGUCAUGGAAGCCAUUUAGAGGUCAGUAAUCUUUAUUUACACUGUUUGUCACGCCCCCUUCCCCGUGACUCUUGUUUGUUCAAUGUACAUGUUGUUUCCGUCGUUGUUUGUUGGUAUGUUUGCCCGGUGCGUCUGUUCCAUGUCUGUCCUGGUGUUGUGUUCUGGUUGUCCGGGCAACGAGGCGGGGGCGGGGUGUUCCCCACCUGACAGUCAUUAUCCACUCUCGCACCUGUUCCUGAUCUGCAAUCCACCACAGCAUUUAGAAGAGUGUAGUAUUUGUGGAGAUAUAAUAACACACGCAGACACAGAGCCAAGGUGAGUCCGUUUAUUCCAACUCUGUACCCCCUCAAACAGCCAAACCCUGGAAGGUCCAAUGGCCCCUCCCUUUACCGUAUUUACUCUAGUAUUGAUACCAUCAUGACCGUACCUUAUAAACUACUACAGAGAGGACCUGACUUCCAGCCCCAGUCGGAUUGUUAAGUCUCAACCGUAUGUUGAGCUUUGCACACCAGCUAAACCUUUGCUGUAUUGACCUAGUCCUGUUUUGCCUGUCUGCCUGUUUUCUGAUUACCUACCUGUAACCCUGCUUUUUCCCCUGCCUAGACAAACCCGACAACUGCAUGCACCUGUUUGUCACCCUGGACCUCGGAGCCACCCUGCACCUAGAUUCCACGCCAACCCAUAGCCACUCGGCCCACCCCCCUGACACUGUUGUUAUACCUAAUGCCAUGAUGAAUGAAGCCCAGUCAAUGUAAUUGUCUUUUAUGCUUGAAACC